AUGAUCCUCCCUCCCCCGAUCCCAUCUCUUCCACCUCCGGAGCGCCGCCACCUCCUGCCACGCCCCACCCCACCUCACCGCGCACCGCCGGCCGCCGCCGCGCGCCCCUCCGGCGCGGCUACCCCUACCCCAAGUGCCCCCACACCCGCGGCCUUCCUCCGCCGGCGACAGUCGACGCCGCGGCCGUUGACGGCUCCCCCAAUCCCGCCGGCUUCUCCAUCAGCCAACCCUCGAGUGAGCACAAGCAACUGCCAUGAAGCUGCGCGGCCACCCACUAGACCCCUUCACCUCCUUGCUCCCACUUGCACACAUGAGAAGGAAUUGGAUCAGAGUCAGUCGGUCCCUCAAUCUAAACCAGGAGGAGCGCCCAUUAAACAGGAUGGUGUGCAGGUCGCGGAGAGUUGCAUCGGCAAGCGUCGGCUCAUAUCUUGA
rnacentral:rRNA from 1 species